rnacentral:tRNA from 1 species
GUGAUCGUGGCGAAAAGGCUAACGCAGACGCCUGUGAAGCGUUUAGUGAGGGUUCAAGUCCCUUCGGUCACCCCA